rnacentral:rRNA from 1 species
GACGAACGCUGGCGGCGUGCUUAACACAUGCAAGUCGAACGGGCCUUGUCCCCUUUUUUUUGGGGGUGGGGUUAGUGGCGAACGGGUGAGUAACACGUGAGUAACCUGCCCCUCACUUCUGGAUAACCGCUUGAAAGGGUGGCUAAUACGGGGUGUUCUGGCCUGCUCGCAUGGGUGGGUUUGGAAAGAUUCGACCGGUUUUGGUUGUUUUGGUGGGGGAUGGGCUCGCGGCCUAUCAGCUUGUUGGUGGGGUGAUGGCCUGCCAAGGCUUUGACGGGUAGCCGGCCUGAGAGGGUGGGCGGUCACACUGGGACUGAGACACGGCCCAGACCCCUACGGGAGGCAGCAGUGGGGAAUAUUGCACAAUGGGCGCAAGCCUGAUGCAGCGACGCCGCGUGAGGGAUGGAGGCCUUCGGGUUGUGAACCUCUUUCGCCAGUGAAGAAGGUCCUGCUCUUUGUGGUGGGGUUGACGGUAGCUGGGUUAAUGAAGCGCCGGCUAACUACGUG